rnacentral:rRNA from 1 species
CCUACGGGAGGCUGCAGUGAGGAAUAUUGGUCAAUGGACGAGAGUCUGAACCAGCCAAGUAGCGUGAAGGAUGACUGCCCUAUGGGUUGUAAACUUCUUUUAUAAAGGAAUAAAACGAGGCACGUGUGCCUUUUUGCAUGUACUUUAUGAAUAAGGAUCGGCUAACUCCGUGCCAGCAGCCGCGGUAAUACGGAGGAUCCGAGCGUUAUCCGGAUUUAUUGGGUUUAAAGGGAGCGUAGAUGGGUUGUUAAGUCAGUUGUGAAAGUUUGCGGCUCAACCGUAAAAUUGCAAUUGAUACUGGCAGUCUUGAGUACAGGUGAGGUAGGCGGAAUUCGUGGUGUAGCGGUGAAAUGCUUAGAUAUCACGAAGAACCCCGAUUGCGAAGGCAGCCUACUAAACUGUGACUGACAUUGAUGCUCGAAAGUGUGGGUAUCAAACAGGAUUAGAUACCCUUGUAGUC